rnacentral:tRNA from 1 species
GCUCUGGUAGCUUAGUGGGUAAAGCAAUUGACUGCUAACCAAAAAGUCGGUGGUUCGAAACCACCAGGGGCU